rnacentral:rRNA from 1 species
GUUCGGAUUGUAGUCUGCAACCCGACUACAUGAAGCCGGAAUCGCUAGUAAUCGCGGAUCAGAAUGCCGCGGUGAAUACGUUCCCGGGUCUUGUACACACCGCCCGUCACACCAUGGGAGUUGGAAAUGCCCGAAGUCAGUGGCCCAACCGGAAGGGGGGAGCUGCCGAAGGCAGGUUCGAUGACUGGGGUGAAGUCGUAACAAGGUAUC